AGGGAGAAAUGGGACAGCCAG
rnacentral:misc_RNA from 1 species